rnacentral:rRNA from 1 species
CCUACGGGGGGCAGCAGUGGGGAAUAUUGGACAAUGGGCGAAAGCCUGAUCCAGCCAUGCCGCGUGUGUGAAGAAGGCCUUCGGGUUGUAAAGCACUUUCAGUGGGGAAGAAAGCCUUGGGGCUAAUACCCUCGAGGAAGGACAUCACCCACAGAAGAAGCACCGGCUAACUCCGUGCCAGCAGCCGCGGUAAUACGGAGGGUGCGAGCGUUAAUCGGAAUUACUGGGCGUAAAGCGCGCGUAGGCGGUCUGAUAAGCCGGUUGUGAAAGCCCCGGGCUCAACCUGGGAACGGCAUCCGGAACUGUCAGGCUAGAGUGCAGGAGAGGAAGGUAGAAUUCCCGGUGUAGCGGUGAAUUGCGUAGAGAUCGGGAGGAAUACCAGUGGCGAAGGCGGCCUUCUGGACUGACACUGACGCUGAGGUGCGAAAGCGUGGGUAGCAAACAGGACUAGAUACCCCGGUAGUC